ACCCUCCUCUCUCUCCUCCUGCUCACAUCUCUCCUCCGCAUACGGCGCCCAUCACACCGGCCGUCACGUCCUCCUCCUCGAUCGCCGCCUCCACCACGCGGAUCCGGCCUCAAUCGCAUCCCCCUCGACUGUCUCUUCCAGCACACGUCUAGGGGCAUGGAGCCCGGAUGCCCUCCCUAGACUGCCAUCAAGAUCAGCACCACAGAUGCGUGGCUCGAGGCAUGGGGGCCUGAAUCCGGGCAUAGGUGUCCGAGAUUUGGGCAUGGUCGCCCGGAUCCGAUCUUCUCGCUUGAUCUUCCUUUUUUCCUGAUUUUGACAAAGACUCGAUUCAUCCGGAACCAGCUUCUAAGGUUGCUGGACUAUGCUGCUGUUGCCAUGAGUGAUCGGCGUGCAAAUGGUCAUCGCAGUGUCGCUCCUUCUGCUCCAUGAUAUUUGCCUUCGCUUUGGCGGCGCAUCGAUGGCUUGGUGAAUUCGUGUUACGGUGAUUCCACACCAGCUGUUGUUGAUCCAUUUUUCGUGUCAUCUGUUGAUCAUGUUGGGGUGUCUUCUGCUGUUAAUUCUUCUACGGAUAUUGAUGCUCGAAGGUAGGGUUCCCCAGUGAUAUUACCUACUUAGCUCAUUCCAAUGAAGUCCAUGAUUUUUUUAUCUGACCUGCAACAUCAUAAUUACGCACUACUCUUGUGGUGGUGAUGUUACUCUUCGAAUUUCUCUAAAUACGCUCUUAGAAGAUGGUUAGAAUUGCAUUCUCAAAUUUCGGUAAGAACUCUCACUUUUUAUUUUCGUUUUGGGUGAUAGAAUUAAUAAACUUUCAGAUUCGUGCAGUAAUGUAUUCUUGGGUCUUACUUACAUUUUACCUAUUAUUUCUAUUGAAAAUACGAGAUUGAAUGUCAAACAUGCUAGGUCAGUUCAUUUGCAUUAAUUUUUUUUAGCUCUCUGGCUCUAAUUUCUCAUAUGUAGCAAUUUUUUUUUUGAUAUAUAAGACGAGGCAUGCUCUUGCUUUUCAGGUUUUCAAUGUAUUAUCCAACCAACAUCAGAUACUUUGCUGAGCUCCAAGAGACGGUUCCCGUCCUGCACUACAAUUGUUUAUCGCAUAUAGCAAACAUAAUUUAUGGUUGCCAGUGAAUCCAGAUAACUCUGCUUUGCCAUAUUACUUUUACACUCCACAAUUAUUUGGUUAUUUGAACUACGGAUUUGAAGGGCAAAUUUCUGUAGCAACUUCAUUUAAUUCAAAUAAAGGGAUUAUCAAAACAAGAAGUUAAAUCACACAAGCUUAACCUUAACGCUUGACAGUAGCAUCUCUCUUGAGGCGUGUCAAGAAAGGGCUUAAAGAUGCUUGCAAUAGUUAUUUUGGAUACGUGGAUCUGGUCCUUACGACAUUGUAUUUUUUAAUUUGCACCUCCAAUUUAUAAUAUUGCUGUUUUAAUUUUCAGAUCUUCGCAAACACGAUAUAUACAUGUGAGUUUUGUUUAAUCCUCAACAGACUAGCAACAUCGCUGUUUGGCAACAUGCCACUACUGGCUAAUUUGAAAUAUGGCUUCAGAAUUUAGACAAUUAGAAGCAAAAGUUCUCCUCCAGCAGGUAGUGAAAGGUGAAGUUGGCCAGCCACUCGUGGGAGUCUCCCGGUUAGCCUGUUGGAGUAGAGGUUGAGGAUGGAAAACCAGUCGCCCAUAUUGUCUGAUGUGUCGGCGGGAUCUCUCCAGAGUGGUCAUUGUUGCCGAGGUGCUGUAGCGGGAUGCAGCGUGGAGAUUUUGGCGGAGACUUCUGUUUGCAGCGUGCGACAGAAAAAGAAAAGAAGAGGAAUAGACACAUCGAGCCUUGCCUGUGGGCAUCCUCUAUCUAGAUGAAGCUGGUGUAAAUUGAACAGAUUGCUUAUGCGAUGCCUGAGGAUAUGGAAAAGAUAUGUGGUGGAGAAAAAGAAGAGUGCUU